AAGAAAGUAAAUAAGGGCGCAUGGCGGAUGCCUUGGCUCUCGGAGGCGAUGAAGGACGUGAUAAGCUGCGAUAAGCUUCGGGUAGGUGCAAAUGACCUUUGAUCCGAAGAUUUCCGAAUGGGACAACCCGGCAUUCUGAAGGAAUGUCAUCCAACUUGGUUGGAGGCUAACGCAGGGAACUGAAACAUCUUAGUACCUGCAGGAAAAGAAAAUAAAUAAUGAUUCCCCUAGUAGUGGCGAGCGAACGGGGAUUAGCCCAAACCACCCAUGUUACGGCAUGUGUGGGGUUGUAGGACCACGCUCUCGCAAGACAGUUAUUGAGAAGAAACGACUGGAAAGUCGUGCCAUAGACGGUGAUAGCCCGGUAUUCUAAGGUAACCGAAGCGUAGUGGUAUCCUGAGUAGCGCGGAGCACGAGGAAUUCUGCGUGAAUCAGCCGGGACCAUCCGGUAAGGCUAAAUACUCCCGAGAGACCGAUAGCGAACCAGUACUGUGAAGGAAAGGUGAAAAGCACUUCGAAUAGAAGAGUGAAAUAGUCCCUGAAACCAUGCGCCUACAAGCGGUCGGAGCAGCUUAAGUUGUGACGGCGUGCCUUUUGCAUAAUGAACCUACGAGUUACUUUUUCCGGCAAGGUUAAGCAUCUUGAGAUGCGGAUCCGAAGCGAAAGCGAGUCUGAACAGGGCGGAUAGUCGGAAGGAGUAGACGCGAAACCAAGUGAUCUACCCUUGGGCAGGUUGAAGGUUAGGUAACACUAACUGGAGGACCGAACCGAUAAGCGUUGAAAAGCUUCCGGAUGACCUGAGGGUGGGGGUGAAAGGCUAAUCAAACUUGGAGAUAGCUCGUACUCCCCGAAAUGCAUUUAGGUGCAGCCUUGAGAGUUACUAAUGUGAGGUAGAGCGACUGAUAAGAUGCGAGGGCUUCACCGCCUAUCAAGUCUUGAUAAACUCCGAAUGCGCAUUAGUUCUAUCUCAGGAGUGAGGGCAUGGGUGCUAAGGUCCAUGUCCUAAAGGAGAAGAAUCCAGACCAUCAGCUAAGGUCCCCAAAUAAACACUAAGUUGAACUAACGAAGUCAGAUUGCUAAGACAGCUAGGAUGUUGGCUUGGAAGCAGCCAUUCAUUUAAAGAGUGCGUAACAGCUCACUAGUCGAGGAGUUUGGCGUGGAUAAUAAUCGGGCAUNAAGCGUGAGCUUUACUGGAGCGUGUGGAAAAGCAAAUGUAGGUAUAAGUAACGAUAAAGGGGGUGAGAAACCCCCUCGCCGCAAGACUAAGGUUUCCUGAUCAACGCUAAUCGGAUCAGGGUUAGUCGGGUCCUAAGGCUCAGCCGAACGGUGAGGCCGAUGGCAGAACAGGUUAAUAUUCCUGUACUACCUAUAAGAGUGAUGUGGAGACGGAGGAGUGACAACGCCGCGGACUGACGGAAUAGUCCGUUAAAGGGUGUAGAUGUUGAUUAUCCCAGGCAAAUCCGGGAUAAGAGUCGAACCUGACAGUAUACCAAUUUCCCCGGAAAACGGUAAUAGUGCGUGUAAACAUACUCCCAAGAAAAUCCGCUAAACUUAAUCUUACAGGUACCCGUACCGUAAACGGACACACGUAGUCGGGUUGAAUAUACUCAGGCGCUUGAGUGAAUCACGGUUAAGGAACUAGGCAAAUUGACCCUGUAACUUCGGGAUAAAGGGUCCCUACCCGGUGACGGGAGGGCGCAGAGAAUAGGUCCAGGCAACUGUUUAACAAAAACACAGGGCUGUGCAAAAUUGAAAGAUCACGUAUACAGCCUGACACCUGCCCGGUGCUGGAAGGUUAAGAGGAGAUGUCAUCGCAAGAGAAGCAUUGAAUUGAAGCCCCAGUAAACGGCGGCCGUAACUAUAACGGUCCUAAGGUAGCGAAAUUCCUUGUCGGGUAAGUUCCGACCUGCACGAAUGGUGUAAUGAUCUGGACACUGUCUCAACCGUGAGCUCAGUGAAAUUGUAGUAUCGGUGAAGAUGCCGAUUACCCGCGAUGGGACGAAAAGACCCCGUGAACCUUUACUAUAGCUUAACAUUGAAUUUGGGUAAUUGAUGUGUAGGAUAGGCCGGAGACUUUGAAGCAGGCACGCCAGUGUUUGUGGAGUCGCUGUUGAAAUACGGCCCUUUGGUUAUUUGAGUUCUAACUCGCUGGUGCGAGGACACUGUUUGGUGGGUAGUUUGACUGGGGUGGUCGCCUCCAAAAGCGUAACGGAGGCUUCUAAAGGUGCCCUCACGCCGAUUGGUAACCGGCGGUAGAGUGUAAUGGCAUAAGGGCGCUUGACUGGGAGACUUACAAGUCGAUCAGGUAGGAAACUAGAGCAUAGUGAUCCGGUGUUUCCGUAUGGAAGGGACAUCGCUCAAAGGAUAAAAGGUACUCCGGGGAUAACAGGCUGAUCCCUCCCAAGAGCUCAUAUCGACGGAGGGGUUUGGCACCUCGAUGUCGGCUCGUCACAUCCUGGGGCUGGAGAAGGUCCCAAGGGUUGGGCUGUUCGCCCAUUAAAGUGGCACGCGAGCUGGGUUCAGAACGUCGUGAGACAGUUCGGUCUCUAUCUAUCGUGGGCGUAUGAAAUUUGCGUGGCUCUGACACUAGUACGAGAGGACCGUGUUGGACUGACCUCUGGUUUACCGGUUGUGCCGCCAGGUGCAUUGCCGGGUAUCUAAGUCGGGAUUGGAUAAGUGCUGAAAGCAUCUAAGUACGAAGCCAGCCACAAGAUUAGAUUUCUUUUUAGGGUCGUUGUAGACUACAACGUUGAUAGGACGCAGGUGUACAGGUGGUAACAUCACAGCCGAGCGUUACUAAUUGCCCGAUGACUUUCUUUU
rnacentral:rRNA from 1 species